rnacentral:rRNA from 1 species
UAAGGCCGUCCGAUUUGUAGUUUGAAGAAGCGUUUUCCGCGUCGGACCGUGUACAAGUCCCUUGGAACAGGGCGUCAUAGAGGGUGAGAAUCCCGUCUUUGACACGGACUACCGAUGCUAUGUGAUGCGCUCUCGAAGAGUCGAGUUGUUUGGGAAUGCAGCUCAAAAUGGGUGGUAAAUUCCAUCUAAAGCUAAAUAUUGGCGAGAGACCGAUAGCGAACAAGUACCGUGAGGGAAAGAUGAAAAGCACUUUGGAAAGAGAGUUAAACAGUACGUGAAAUUGUUGAAAGGGAAACGAUUGAAGUCAGUCGCGUCUCUCGAGACUCAGCCCCGCAUAUAUGCGCGGCGCAUUUCUCGAGUCGACGGGCCAGCAUCGAUUUCGACCGUAGGAGAAAGGCUGGAGGGAAUGUGGCACCUUUACGGGUGUGUUAUAGCCCUCCGUCAUAUACUACGGUUGGGAUCGAGGAUCGCAGCACGCCUUUAUGGCCGGGGUUCGCCCACGUAACGUGCUUAGGAUGCUGGCGUAAUGGUUUAAAACGACCCGUCUUG